rnacentral:rRNA from 1 species
GACAGAGGUGCCGAGCGUUAGGCGGAAUCACUGGGCUUAAAGCGUGUGUAGGCGGGCGGACAAGUACCUUGUGAAAUCCCACGGCUCAACCGCGGAACGGCUGGGUAUACUGUUCGCCUUGAGCCAACUAGGGGCGAGCGGAACAAGUGGUGGAGCGGUGAAAUGCGUAGAUAUCACUUGGAACGCCAAAGGUGAAAACAGCUCGCUGGGGUUGUGCUGACGCUGAGACACGAAAGCCAGGGGAGCGAACGGG